rnacentral:rRNA from 1 species
CAGUCGCCACGGGAAUACGUAGGUUGCAAGCGUUAAUCGGAAUUACUGGGCGUAAAGCGUGCGCAGGCGGUUAUAUAAGACAGAUGUGAAAUCCCCGGGCUCAACCUGGGAACUGCAUUUGUGACUGUAUAGCUAGAGUACGGCAGAGGGGGAUGGAAUUCCGCGUGUAGCAGUGAAAUGCGUAGAUAUGCGGAGGAACACCGAUGGCGAAGGCAAUCCCCUGGGCCUGUACUGACGCUCAUGCACGAAAGCGUGGGGAGCAAACAGGAUUAGAUACCCCUGUAGUCCCUGUCUCUUAUAC